GCAGUAGUUCUUCAGCUACCAACUACUUGAAAUAAUCAGUGAAUAAUGACUUAAUUUUCAGUCGGAUCUUCAUACAAAACUAUCAUUUAGAAUAUAGUGCACGAGUAUAGACUACUUUAAUGUUUUUUCCAGCCUAUGCCACGUGGCCACCAUAAAUUGUAUAGAAAAUACAUGCAUGAUGGUUCUUCAGGAAUAAUGAUUUAAUAUAGAAUAGGAAAAUUAAGAGCAGACUACAUGGAUUUGUAACGACACGAGGGUGGAAUGAUCAAAUGCAAGCGUGUCUGUGUGAAAAGAUACAGGCACUGGCGACAGGCCUGUCUGCAUGGCUGUGGUGAGUCUGGGUUUCCCCAGCUGGAUGUGCUUGUUUAUGCUUCCAUUUCAAGGCGGCUAGAGGACAGCGUGCCUGUCAACACAGAGAAAGAGGGACACGCCUGUCUCCGCUGCAGUGAUGGAUUUAGGCGAUGAGGGGCAUUUCGUUUGGAAUAUUGGACCUCCUUGUGCCUUGGCCCUGCCCUUUGGGCCGAACAUGCCAGAUUGAAUACAUAGCUCUAAAUGAGGGUUAGAACUCCCUUGUAGUCUUAUGAAAACGCCAUUUAAAGUGUCUUACUGUGUUAGUUUACAAGUGUCCACAUUUACAAGUACUUUAGAGUGUGU